CACCAUUUAGGCAUGCAGACAGGCAACGAGUAGCGUCGCCAUGGCCUACUGAGUCAGUGAAGCGAGUUUUGAGAACCUUUUCGUCUAUUUCUCUGGAAAGGCAGCGACCAACUUCUCAAGCACCUGUAUCUGGUUUGUCUAUUGGAGUGUCAUCUAGCAGCGCCCCCCUCAACUCCAAUUGCUGCUGCUUCUGCUUCUGCUCCGGGUGCAGGUACACCUGGUUUAAUGCAAGGACCUGCCCAAGGUUAAUAUAUUUGGUACUGAUUGGGUAAUGGUCACAACAAGUGAUGGAAAAUAAUAUGACCACAACAACAAAACCAAGGAAAAAUUGAAGGAAAGGGAGCGAGAAUUGCUGAAAAGAAAGGAAAGAGAAGAACAUGAAAUGAAGAGGGUGCAGCUGAAAGUUCGUAGUAAGGAGGCAGUUUCAUCCUUCCAGGCUUUACUUGUAGAGACAAUUAAAGACCUAUUGGUGACAUAUUUUUAUCACUAAUGAUUCCAUUCUUGGUUGUGCUGGAAUAGGAAUGGUUUAUGAUUACGUUGCAUGUUAAGCCAUCUGUAGUACUUCGUACAAAAAGGAAAAAAGAAAAAGAAAGAGAAAAAGAAAAAG